CCUACGGGCGGCUGCAGUGGGGAAUAUUGGACAAUGGGGGAAACCCUGAUCCAGCAAUGCCGCGUGUGUGAAGAAGGCCUGCGGGUUGUAAAGCACUUUCGGUUGGGAAGAAAAGUUUGGCGCCAAUACCGCCGAACCUUGACGUUACUGACAGAAGAAGCACCGGCUAACUCUGUGCCAGCAGCCGCGGCAAUACAGAGGGUGCAAGUGUGCGUCGGAAUUGCUUGGCGGGAAAUGCGCGUAGGGUGUGAAAUCCCCGGGCUUAACCUGGGAACUGCAUUCGAUACUACAUGGCUAGAGUAUGGUAGAGGGAAGUGGAAUUUCCGGUGUAGCGGUGAAAUGCGUAGAUAUCGGAAGGAACACCAAUGGCGAAGGCAGCUUCCUGGACUAAUACUGACGCUGAGGCACGAAAGCGUGGGUAGCAAACAGGAUUAGAUACCCCUGUAGUC
rnacentral:rRNA from 1 species